rnacentral:lncRNA from 1 species
AGGAUACUGGGCUGCCUUGCACCUUUUGCAAGAAGGAUGUGGCUCGUUCUCACCCUUAGACAAGGGGGCCCAGAUUGUGGGUAAAACCAAUGUCCUGAUAUGAUUGUGUAACAGAUUUAUCCCUGGCAAUGGGUGAUCCUGCCCUGCAAUUAUGAACCCAGCACUCUGAGGAUCCUGAAUUUCCAGGCAUUUUCCAGCCUGACUACGGUGCUGCAUCUCCCAGGGAAGAGCAGGACACUUUCCACCUGGAUCUGACAGAAGAACAGGGUAUGGAUGUGGCUGGUGCUAUCAGGAAUUUGGCCAGAAAUGAAGGUGCCUGUGCUGCCUCUUUGGGGUUUCUUGUGCCUUCAGUGAGGCUGUGCCAUGCCAGCUUUGCCUCCUCUGGGCUGCUGAGAGAAUCCUUGGUGUCAGGGUGACUCCAGUAGCUCUGGUUUCCUCUGGGGAGCUGGUGCUUUCCAGGUGAUGGGAAAUGACCAUCACAUCAUCCUCUCUGCUCAUGACUGGAAGUAGUGCAGCUUCCAUCCCUCUGCUAAUCAAGUGCUGGCAGGAUGAGGAAAUGGGAAAUGUGGAUGUUUUGGCAUCUGAUAUCCUCCCACCUGAGACAAACCACCAGAACAGAGAUUUAGAUUUGUAUCCAUGCCAAUCUGUCAUGGUGGGAAGAGAGGAGUUCGCCUGUGGCAUGUGCUAAGCAACAGCUGACAUGAAAUGCAAUAUGUAAUCUUUUCAUCAUGUAAUUAAUUUAGUUUAUGAAUAUAAAAGGAGAGCAGAGAAGGAACUUACUUGACAUAAGAUCAAAGUGAAAGCAAAAGCAAGCAAGAAAUGUGUUGUAGAAGGGUGAGCAGAGAAAAUGGAAGGAUCCCUUUAGAUUUCCUCUAGCAUUCAGGAUGAGCUCAUCCUCACAAAACUAUCAUGUCAGAAAAGCUCCCACAUCCCAGUAAUGAAACAGAGCUUUGUUUCUCAACCUCUACCACAGUGCCUGAUGUCCCAGUGGUUGUGUAUGUAGCUUUGGGGUGCUGCCUCAGAGCCCAGCAUGGAGCAGAGACACCAGGGCCAGAGCCAGCAGUUCAUGGGGAGCUGCAGGACCACCCCCACCCUGUCACCCUUGGCUCUACAGAAACAACAGGAGUAGAAGGUGGAAGCUGCAGCUGCUGUUGCUUUCUCCUGGUGCCUGCUCUCCCUGGCAUUUGCCAUGGAUGAUGUUCCCCAGGCAGGAGCACUCCUCUGCUGGUGCUGCAUCACAGCCCCACUGAGCCCCUCAGCAAUGCUCUGCCUGGGGCUGCAGGGGCUCCUCACUCCUCUCUGUCUUUCUCCUGAGCCAUUUGCAGGAGAAAUGGCUCAGAAUGUGCUGUGCUAAUUUUGGUAAGCCCAAGCAGGGGAGUAAACCCAAAUCUGAUAGCAGCAAACAGGAAAUAACCUUUCUUCUUUCUUCGCCUCCUCAUUCUAGAAAAUCCUUUCCAGCAUUUUUAUCUUGAUGUCACUUUCUGGAAUGGGCUUUGCUAGGUGAGGUGGGAGAAGAGUCCUGGAAAGGCAGGACUCCAGCCUGAACACAGGUGAGAAUGCGCCAGCUCUCUUUCCUGCCUGUGCACAAGUUGGGCCAAGAUUCCUCUUGCUGCCAUAGGAGGUCACAGUGAAAGCUGUGCAAUUUCAGCUUCUCUUUGUACACAUUUCUGCCCAGCUGUUGAGAGUUUGGGACUUUUAUUCUUCAGAUGAUUUAGUGUCUGAUAAGGAGUUCUGUUUCCG